UGCCCCAUAGUCUGGGAUACCACUUGGAAACAGGUGCUAAUACCGGAUAAGAAAGCGGAUCGCAUGAUCAGCUUUUAAAAGGCGGCGUAAGCUGUCGCUAUGGGAUGGCCCCGCGGUACAUUAGCUAGUUGGUAAGGUAAAGGCUUACCAAGGCGAUGAUGCAUAGCCGAGUUGAGAGACUGAUCGGCCACAUUGGGACUGAGACACGGCCCAAACUCCUACGGGAGGCAGCAGCC
rnacentral:rRNA from 1 species